CCUACGUGAGGCAGCAGUGAGGAAUAUUGGUCAAUGGGCGCGAGCCUGAACCAGCCAAGUAGCGUGAAGGAUGACUGCCCUACGGGUUGUAAACUUCUUUUAUAAAGGAAUAAAGUGAGGCACGUGUGCCUUUUUGUAUGUACUUUAUGAAUCAGGCUCGGCUAACUCCGUGCCAGCAGCCGCGGUAAUACGGAGGAUCCGAGCGUUAUCCGGAUUUAUUGGGUUUAAAGGGAGCGUAGAUGGGUUGUUAAGUCAGUUGUGAAAGUUUGCGGCUCAACCGUAAAAUUGCAAUUGAUACUGGCAGUCUUGAGUACAGUUGAGGUAGGCGGAAUGCGUGGUGUAGCGGUGAAAUGCUUAGAUAUCACGAAGAACUCCGAUUGCGAAGGCAGCUUACUAAACUGCCACUGACAUUGAUGCUCGAAAGUGUGGGUAUCAAACAGGAUUAGAUACCCUUGUAGUC
rnacentral:rRNA from 1 species